rnacentral:rRNA from 1 species
UACAGAGGUCCCAAGCGUUGUUCGGAUUCACUGGGCGUAAAGGGUGCGUAGGCGGUCGGGUAAGUCUGAUGUGAAAUCUCCAAGCCUAACUUGGAAACUGCAUUGGAUACUAUCCGGCUCGAGGAAUGGAGGGGAGACUGGAAUACUUGGUGUAGCAGUGAAGUGCGUAGAUAUCAAGUGGAACACCAGUGGCGAAGGCGAGUCUCUGGACAUUUCCUGACGCUGAGGCACGAAAGCCAGGGGAGCAAACGGG